rnacentral:rRNA from 1 species
UACGGAGGGGGCAAGCGUUGUUCGGAAUUACUGGGCGUAAAGCGCGCGUAGGCGGUUUUUCAAGUUAGGCGUGAAAGCCCUGGGCUCAACCCGGGAAUUGCGCUUGAUACUGGAUGACUUGAGGCCGGGAGAGGGUAGUGGAAUUCCCAGUGUAGAGGUGAAAUUCGUAGAUAUUGGGAAGAACACCAGUGGCGAAGGCGGCUACCUGGACCGGUUCUGACGCUGAUGCGCGAAAGCGUGGGGAGCAAACAGG